rnacentral:rRNA from 1 species
UACGGGGGGGGCAAGCGUUGUUCGGAAUUACUGGGCGUAAAGGGCUCGUAGGCGGCCAACUAAGUCGGAUGUGAAAUCCCCAGGCUUAACCUGGGAACUGCAUCCGAUACUGGAUGGCUUGAAUUCGGGAGAGGGAUGCAGAAUUCCAGGUGUAGCGGUGAAAUGCGUAGAUAUCUGGAGGAACACCGGUGGCGAAGGCGGCAUCCUGGACCAAUACUGACGCUGAGGAGCGAAAGCCAGGGGAGCAAACGGG